rnacentral:rRNA from 1 species
UACAGAGGUCUCAAGCGUUGUCCGGAAUCAUUGGGCGUAAAGAGCGUGUAGGCGGCUCGGUAAGUCCGCUGUGAAAGUCCAGGGCUCAACCCUGGAAUGCCGGUGGAAACUGUCGAGCUAGAGUCCGGGAAGAGGCGAGUGGAAUUCCCGGUGUAGCGGUGGAAUGCGCAGAUAUCAAGGAAGAACACCCGUGGCGAAGGCGGCUCUCUGGGACGGUACUGACGCUGAGACGCGAAAGCUGGGGAGGCGAACAGG